rnacentral:rRNA from 1 species
AAUAGAUACCCGGGUAGUCCACGCCGUAAACGAUGAGUGCUAAGUGUUAGGGGGUUUCCGCCCCUUAGUGCUGCAGCUAACGCAUUAAGCACUCCGCCUGGGGAGUACGGUCGCAAGACUGAAACUCAAAGGAAUUGACGGGGGCCCGCACAAGCGGUGGAGCAUGUGGUUUAAUUCGAAGCAACGCGAAGAACCUUACCAGGUCUUGACAUCCCAUUGACCGCUAUGGAGACAUGGCUUUCCCUUCGGGGACAGUGGUGACAGGUGGUGCAUGGUUGUCGUCAGUUCGUGUCGUGAGAUGUUGGGUUAAGUCCCGCAACGAGCGCAACCCUUGUUCUUAGUUGCCAUCAUUUAGUUGGGCACUCUAAGGAGACUGCCGGUGACAAACCGGAGGAAGGUGGGGAUGACGUCAAAUCAUCAUGCCCCUUAUGACCUGGGCUACACACGUGCUACAAUGGACGGUACAAACGGUUGCCAACCCGCGAGGGGAGCUAAUCCGAUAAAACCGUUCUCAGUUCGGAUUGUAGGCUGCAACUCGCCUACA